rnacentral:rRNA from 1 species
ACAGGGAUUGCCUCAGUAACGGCGAGUGAAGCGGCAGCAGCUCAAAUUUGAAAUCUGGCCCCCCCCCACGGGGCCCGAGUUGUAAUUUGCAGAGGAUGCUUCGGGGCGGGCCCCGGCCCGAGUCCCUUGGAACAGGGCGCCGUAGAGGGUGAGGSCCCCGUACACGGCCGGACGCCCGCCCCGUGCGAAGCUCCCUCGACGAGUCGAGUUGUUUGGGAAUGCAGCUCCAAGCGGGAGGUAUAUUCCUCCCAAGGCUAAAUACCGGCCGGAGACCGAUAGCGCACAAGUAGAGUGAUCGAAAGAUGAAAAGCACUUUGGAAAGAGAGUUAAAAAGUACGUGAAAUUGUUGAAAGGGAAGCGUUUGCGGCCAGACCUGGUGGCGGUCGCUCAGCCGGUCCCUCUCGGGCCGGCGCACUCUUCCGCCACCUGGCCAGCAUCGGUCCGGGCGGCCGGACAAAGGCCGGGGGAACGUGGCCCCCCCGCGGGGUGUUAAAGCCCCCGGCACAAUGCGGCCCGCCCGGACCGAGGACAGCGUUCGCUAGGAUGCUGGCGUAAUGGCAGCCAACGGCCCGUCUUGAAACACGGACCAAGGAGUCUAGCACGCGCGCGAGUGUCCGGGUGCCAAACCCUCACGCGCAAUGAAAGUGAACGGAGGUGGGAGCCCCCGCGCACCAUCGACCGAUCCCGAUGUCUUCGGAAGGAUUUGAGUAUGAGCGCGCGUGCUGGGACCCGAAAGAUGAUGAACUAUGCCCUGGAUAGGCUGAAGCCGCCCGAAAGGGCGGUGGAGGCCCGCAGCGGUUCUGACGUGCAAAUCGAUCGUCAAAUCUGGGUAUAGGGGCGAAAGACUAAUCGAA